rnacentral:rRNA from 1 species
UACGGAGGGUGCAAACGUUGCUCGGAAUCAUUGGGCGUAAAGCGCACGUAGGCGGCUUUGCAAGUCAGAGGUGAAAGCCCGGGGCUCAACCCCGGAAUAGCCUUUGAGACUGCAUCGCUAGAAUUGUGGAGAGGUAAGUGGAAUUCCGAGUGUAGAGGUGAAAUUCGUAGAUAUUCGGAAGAACACCAGUGGCGAAGGCGACUUACUGGACACAUAUUGACGCUGAGGUGCGAAAGCGUGGGGAGCAAACAGG